GGCCCAAUAGUAUAGUCGUAUUAUACUCCCUUCGGGAAAAUUUGAACCCUCAGGGGAGCCCUGAGUCUGGGAGAGGUCCCGGGUUCAAUUCCCGGUUGGGCCC